UGGCCUGGUGCCUUGAUUUGCUCUCCUCCAAGACCUUAAAUGUCAACAUUUUAUUUUUCUUUCUCUUUAAGCAUGGAUCCCUGAGUUCUGUCCACAAUACUACAAGACAAUUUGAUAUCAUAACAGAAUACUGCAGACAUAAUGCUGAGUGAAGAAGAGAAGAAAUGGGAAGGCUUGGUUGUGUGGAAACUGAGUUCUUGGAAAGAGAUACUUGAUAAGGCCAUUUCCUGCCUCUGAUUUAAGGAGAAAAGCAUAUUAUUGAAACUUGAGGAUUAAACAUACUACAACAACGUAAGAGAAAUGAGAAAGAAACGUGUAUGUUACUCUACUUCUAACAUGUCAUAACCUUAAACCAAACAUAUAGUCAGGUAUGUAUUAUAGAGAGCCA
rnacentral:lncRNA from 1 species